rnacentral:rRNA from 1 species
AUUGAACGCUGGCGGUAUGCUUAACACAUGCAAGUCGAACGGCAGCACAGGGUAGCUUGCUAUCCGGGUGGCGAGUGGCGGACGGGUGAGUAACGCGUAGGAAUCUACCUUUUUGUGGGGGAUAACCCGGGGAAACUCGGGCUAAUACCGCAUACGCCCUAUGGGGGAAAGCGGGGGACCUUUGGGCCUCGCGCAAAAAGAUGAGCCUGCGUCCUAUCAGGUAGUUGGUGAGGUAAUGGCUCACCAAGCCGACGACGGGUAGCUGGUCUGAGAGGACGACCAGCCACACUGGGACUGAGACACGGCCCAGACUCCUACGGGAGGCAGCAGUGGGGAAUAUUGCACAAUGGGCGCAAGCCUGAUGCAGCGACGCCGCGUGAGGGAUGACGGCCUUCGGGUUGUAAACCUCUUUCACCAGGGACGAAGCGUGAGUGACGGUACCUGGAGAAGAAGCACCGGCCAACUACGUG